rnacentral:rRNA from 1 species
AAAAAUAUUUUUAUUUUUUAUUUUUUAAUAAUAUUAUUUAAUUUUUAUUAUAAAAAUUAAAAUUUUCUUUUUGUAUAAAGAUAAAAAGAUUAAGUAAUUUUUAUUAAUUCUCUUAAUUAAAGAUUUAAUUGAAUAUUUUUUAUGUGGAAUAAUUUAAUAUUUGAUUAUAUGUUAUAUGCUUAGCUUUAUUUAAUAUAGUUUAUAGUUGUUUAUUUAGUGGAUUAGCUUUAAUUUUUUAAGAAUUUUUAUAUAUUUUUUAAAUAUUUUUAAUAAUAAUUUUAAUUUUUUAUAAUAAAUAUACAUAUAUAUACAAUUAUUAUUCUUUAUUAUUAUAAAUUUUUAAAUAUAUUAAAUAAUUUUUUUAUUAGUAUUAAUUUUAGUGAAUAUUAAUAGUUAUUAUUUUAUUGUUAUAAUAUAAUUAUUUUAAUUAAAAUAAUUAUUAAUUAUUUAUCAAAAUUUAAUUAUUUUUAUUAAAUAUCAUUUCUGCUCAAUGAAUUUUAAAUAGCUGCGGUGUAAUAACUGUUCUAAGGUAGCGAAAUAAUUUGUUUUUUAAUUGGAAACUUGUAUAAAUGGAAAUUUAAUAGUUAUUUUUUAUUUUUUUUAUUAAUAAUUUUAUUAUUAAUUGAAAAAUAUUAUAAAAUUUUAAAGACGAGAAGACCCUAAAAAUUUUAUUAAUUUUAUUUUAAUAUUUUUUUAUUUAUUAAAUAAUAUAUUUGAUUUUAUUGGGGUAAUAUUUUAAUAUUAUAAUUUAAAAAUAAUUAUUUUUUAUCUAGUUAUAUUAUUAUUUAAUUACUUUAGGGAUAACAGUGUUAUUUAUUUUUUUAUUUAUAUAAAAAUUAGUUUGCUACCUCGAUGUUGGUUUUUUAUGGCUUUUAGGGGCAGUAUUUUAAUAAGCUAGUCUGUUCGACUAUUAAAUUAAAACUUGAACUGAGUUCAAAUCGGCGUGAGCCAGAUUGGUUUUUAUCUUAAGAUUAUUUUAAAAUUUAUUAGUACGAAAGGA